AUUUGGCGGCAGGCCUACACUGCAGUCAAGCGCUCACUUCGGUGGGAGCGGCGGACGGGUUAGUAACGCGUGGGAACGUACCCAGUUCUAAGGGAUAGCCACUGGAAACGGUGAGUAAUACCUUAUACGCCCUUCGGGGGAAAGAUUUAUCGGAAUUGGAUCGGCCCGCGUUAGAUUAGAUAGUUGGUGGGGUAAUGGCCUACCAAGUCUACGAUCUAUAGCUGGUUUUAGAGGAUGAUCAGCAACACUGGGACUGAGACACGGCCCAUACUCCUACGGGGAGGCAGCACGUGGGGAAUCUUAUACCAUGGGCGCAAGCCUGAUCUACCAUGCCGCGUGAGUGAAUGAAGGCCCUAGGGUCGUAAAGCCUCUUUCGCCCAGGGAAUGAUAAUUGAACGGUCCCCUGGUUAAAGAAACCCCGGGCUUAACUCCCGUGCCCAACCAGGCCCCCGGGUUAUUCCCGGAAGGGGGGGUUAGCGUUGUCGGAAUUACUGGGCGUAAAGCGCCGUAGGCGGAUCAGAAAGUUAGGGGUGAAAUCCCAGGGCUCAACCCUGGAACUGCCUCUAAAACUCCUGGUCUUGAGUUCGAGAGAGGUGAGUGGAAUUCCGAGUGUAGAGGUGAAAUUCGUAGAUAUUCGGAGGAACACCAGUGGCGAAGGCGGCUCACUGGCUCGAUACUGACGCUGAGGUGCGAAAGUGUGGGGAGCAAACAGGAUUAGAUACCCUGGUAGUCCACACCGUAAACGAUGAAUGCCAGUCGUCGGGUAGCAUGCUAUUCGGUGACACACCUAACGGAUUAAGCAUUCCGCCUGGGGAGUACGGUCGCAAGAUUAAAACUCAAAGGAAUUGACGGGGGCCCGCACAAGCGGUGGAGCAUGUGGUUUAAUUCGAAGCAACGCGCAGAACUUACCAACCCUUGACAUCCUAGGACAACUCCAGAGAUGGAGCCUUCCUUCGGGACCUAGUGACAGGUGCUGCAUGGCUGUUGUCAGCUCGUGUCGUGAGAUGUUCGGUUAAGUCCGGCAACGAGCGCAACCCACAUCCCUAGUUGCCAGCAGUUCGGCUGGGCACUUUUAUGGAAACUGCCCGUGAUAAGCGGGAGGAAGGUGUGGAUGACGUCAAGUCCUCAUGGCCCUUACGGGUUGGGCUACACACGUGCUACAAUGGUGGUGACAAUGGGUUAAUCCCCUAAAGCCAUUCUCAGUUCGGAUUGUUGUCUGCAACUGGACGGCAUGAAGUCGGAAUAGUUAGUAAUCGCGUAACAGCAUGAGGCAGUGAAUACUUCCCCNGGGCCUUUGUUCACACCGNCCGUCACANCAUUGGGAANUUGGGUUCCCC
rnacentral:rRNA from 1 species